AUUGAACGCUGGCGGCAUGCUUUACACAUGCAAGUCGAACGGUAACAGGCCUUCGGUUGCUGACGAGUGGCGAACGGGUGAGUAAUGCAUCGGAACGUGCCCAGCCGUGGGGGAUAACGCAGCGAAAGCUUUGCUAAUACCGCAUCUGAUCUGAGGAUGAAAGCGGGGGACCGGGCAGCAAUGUUUGGCCUCGCGCCUUUGUAGCUGCCGAUGUCAGAUUAGGUAGUUGGUGGGGUAAAGCCCUACCAAGCCGACGAUCUGUAGCUGGUCUGAGAGGACGACCAGCCACACUGGGACUGAGACACGGCCCAGACUCCUACGGGAGGCAGCAGUGGGGAAUGUUGGACAAUGGGCGAAAGCCUGAUCCAGCAAUGCCGCGUGCGGGAAGAAGGCCUUCGGGUUGUAAACCGCUUUUGUACGGAACGAAAAGGCUCUGGCUAAUACCUGGGGCUGAUGACGGUACCGGAAGAAUAAGCACCGGCUAACUACGUG
rnacentral:rRNA from 1 species